rnacentral:rRNA from 1 species
GAGUUUGAUCAUGGCUCAGAUUGAACGCUGGCGGCAUGCCUUACACAUGCAAGUCGAACGGCAGUAUGAUCUAGCUUGCUAGAUUGAUGGCGAGUGGCGAACGGGUGAGUAAUACAUCGGAACGUGCCCUGUAGUGGGGGAUAACUAGUCGAAAGAUUAGCUAAUACCGCAUACGACCUGAGGGUGAAAGUGGGGGACCGCAAGGCCUCAUGCUAUAGGAGCGGCCGAUGUCUGAUUAGCUAGUUGGUGGGGUAAAGGCCCACCAAGGCGACGAUCAGUAGCUGGUCUGAGAGGACGAUCAGCCACACUGGGACUGAGACACGGCCCAGACUCCUACGGGAGGCAGCAGUGGGGAAUUUUGGACAAUGGGCGAAAGCCUGAUCCAGCAAUGCCGCGUGUGUGAAGAAGGCCUCGGUGUAAG